rnacentral:misc_RNA from 1 species
UAUGCCUUUGUCGACAGUAUGUCGUAUGAUAGCGGGCCGGUAACACGUUUUUAAGCAAAAGAAAGUAUUGCAUGUAAAAAUUUCUAUAACCUGGUUGUACCACAACGGUUGAAUGUCUCACAUUAUGCUAGCCUAAAACGUUACUUAAGAUAUAUUUAAUUCAACCAGGACAUCACCAAAUUGCACUUAUUUAAAAAGGAAUUUAUAAAUUUAAUUAAAGGAAUAUGUCCUCAGUAUCGCAAAACUUAAUACCUGUGGAAAAAAAGGAGCAGAUUUCUUUAUCCCAAAAGUUAACAAUUCAUGAACAGCAUCAUCAACUGUAUGCUUUGAAAUGGAGUGAAUUUCAGUCAUCUAUAGUUAACUGUUUUCAACGAUUGCGAGAUGAAGAAGACUUUGUGGAUGUAACUAUAUCUUGUGACCAGCGAUCAUUUGCUGCUCAUAGAGUUGUUCUCAGUGCCUGCAGUCCUUACUUUCGUAAAUUGUUGAAAUCAAAUCCCUGCAAACACCCCAUUAUAAUAUUACGAGAUGUGUACUCAGAACACAUGGAAUGUCUUCUAAGUUUCAUGUACAAUGGAGAAGUAAAUAUAAGACAAGAUCAAUUACAAGAUUUCUUAAAAGCUGCACAUAUGCUUCAGAUACGUGGCUUGACAGAUGUUUCUGAUAACUACUGCCCUCCAGAAUUUAAUUUAUCGGAAAAAAAAACACUGGAUAAUUCCAUCAUCAGUAGUAAAGCAUACAAAAAGGAUUCUGAUAAAGAUGACUGUAAUGCAGAAUAUAUAGAAAAGUCUAGUAAUUCUUCAAAAUACAAACUGUUUUCUGAUCGUCCAAUUACAUCCGCAUUGAUGACCAGCUUUAAUAACAACUCUAUUAACCCAUAUCUUAUAAAGGAAACACAAUCGGCAGCAUCUUCUCUCCAAAGGGAAAAUACCGAUCCAUAUCGUAAUCGAAAAACCCUUCUAACACCACCACCCCAAAAACGUAUUAAAAGUGCGGACCUAUUUCGUGCGCAACACGGCAUUAAUUCCGAACGAGCUCUUUCAGAAGCAGAAUUUCCAGCGAUUUUACAGCAUCAAAUAUCUCGGGAACGAAGACAUUUGUUUAAUGAUUGCGACAGAGCUAUAGAAGCCAAUGAAACUACUAUAGGAUCAUCAAUAGAAGAAAAAACAGCUUUCAAUUUUCAGCGCACAGAUAAACAAUCUACACAGGAAGAAAGUGCCGAUGACGACUCUAACUGUAGCAGCGAGUACCCUCUUGAUCGUGUAGGUACACAACAGGAAACGAACGACUCAGUGGAUAAUCUACGACCUGCCAUGCCGAACACGUUUUCAGGAAUUCCAAAAUCUCUGGAACAACAAGGCCAUUUAAAUAAGAAUGAAUUUGAACAUCCCGGUGAAAUAUCCAGCAACUUAAGAGAAAAGGGUUUCUCUACAUUUUUAUGCAACCGCUUUUGGAAUACAAAUUUUGAGGAUAAAAAGGAAAUCGGAUAUAAGAAUAGAUUUGAUAUGAGUAAAAAAUUGCCUAUAGAUAAUUUUGUAGCCAAAUCUGCAGCUUUGUCGCUAAUGGUGAAAACUGCAUGUAUAAAUAAACAACCCACAUAUUUUCAAGAGAUGGUUAGUAAACAUGAUAUGCAAUCAAAUAACACACGAAUUCAACAACAAAAACAACAGGAGUUUGAAAUUCUACAACAGUUUGAAAUACAACAGCCCUUAUAUGACUAUCUAUACGAACUGCAGAAAUCAACGAAUAAUCAACAAAAAACUUGUGAUACUCACUUCAUGGAAAGAACUCCUCAUAUUAGUGAAAAUACAAGUUUACGGGACGUAACGGUGACUGCACAUACAAGUAGCGCUCACAUAUUGCCCUGUCCUCUCUGCGCAAUUCCGCUAGAGCAAAGAUAUUUUCGGCAACAUUUAGAUGGACACUAUCCACGAGAUAGUUCAAUUUGUCCAGUAAUCGAAUGCGGCCGCCGGUUUGCCCAUCCAAAUUCCGUUAGGAAUCAUAUGCGUAUUAAGCACACCCAUCAGUGGGCUAAAAUGAAAGUAAUGCGCUCUUCUGCUGGACAUAUGCCUAGUGAACUGGAUCUAAAUAAGAAAAAAAACUAAUUUAGCCCAUAACUCAGAAAUUGGAUAUUGUGUUAUCUAAAAUAAAUCUGUGUAAAACUUAUGGUUCAAUUAUAAAUAGUUCUGCAAUAAGGAGAUAUUUGAGGAUUACGGGCAUGGGAAUAUCACAGGAACAUACAACAGCAGCUACUUUACAUGCAGCAAAAAUUGUGCAGUUAAAUGCCCUCGGACAUAAA